rnacentral:rRNA from 1 species
UACGUAGGGGCAAGCGUUGUCCGGAAUCAUUGGGCGUAAAGCGCGUGUAGGCGGCCCGGUAAGUCCGCUGUGAAAGUCCAGGGCUCAACCCUGGAAUGCCGGUGGAUACUGUCGGGCUCGAGUCCGGAAGAGGCGAGUGGAAUUCCGUGGUGUAGCGGUGAAAUGCGCAGAUAUCAGGAAGAACACCCGUGGCGAAGGCGGCUCUCUGGAACGCAACUGACGCUGAGACGCGAAAGCGUGGGGAGCAAACAGG